CCAGCAGGUCCUGCAUUAUAUCCUGGGGAAAAAAUUAUUCUCUCUAUUUGUCUCCCAGAAAGAUGGAGAACUCUGUAGAAUUUCCCCUGCAUACUUGUUAUUCACCCAGCUCUACCCCAAGAGCACUUCUAGCUAAGGGCUAGUGAUUCCUGGAAUAUCUUUAAGUGUAACCACUAAGAGAACCAUCUUUGUCCUCCUACCUCAGGAAUACAGAUUUGCCCUCCAUCAUGAAAGACUAAAAGGAAGAAAGAGGGGUAUGGGGUCUGAUGGUGUUAUGUGUGAAAGUGAGACAGAAAGAGGCAUUGGAGAGAGGAUCCAAUGCCAGAGCCAAGUCACACAAAUUAAGUGGGCCUUGGAGAUGACUGAAAAGCUACUUCCUUUUACCCAGCCCCCAGAAACCACCCUACUCUGACAAUACUGACUUUCAGCUCAGGUACUGUGGACCCAUACAGUCUUUGCUGUGCUGUGUGAAGUGAGAAUGGCAUGGGAAAGACAUAUCAGCCUCUUUUCCAUAACAGGGAGCAUCCAGGGGGGUUCCUGCCCGCAGAGCACAGGCUGAACAGCUCCUCGGCAUAAUGUGCCUCUACCUGAGGACACAUGUGCUUGGACGGCCAGACCAGGACCUCUACAUAGCCUGUGAGAGGGAGGUACUUUGGGAGAGUUGAUAGGGUUAAGUCUAAGGAAGAUAGAAAUCCAGUUGGGACCAGUUGAAUCCAGCUUGAGUCUGUCUUACAAAAGACAUUCAUCAGUUUUUCAUAGCACACUUAGACAUAUCUCACUGGGGGAGGUAAGAACAGGAAAGAAGGAGCAGCAGGCUGUCCCCUUGUGUUGUGACAACUGUCUAUAUGAACGAGCUAACAGUGGGAUCUUCAGUGUGGGACCUGUUAAGAAACCUCACAUCCUCUGCCUCAAGGUUUUACAGUCACCCUGACUCACAGAUGCUCUGGUGUGUGUAGACCCAGUGUGGGCUAACCCUAACCCUGGGGUCUUGUGAAGAUCAGAAGUGGGAGGAAGCGAGCUCCUGGGGCAAGGUCCUAAGUACUGAGAUUCCCUGGAGGUCAUCUCCUCUGUCUGCUCCAGUGUUCUCCACCCUCACUUCCCUUUAUUCUUCUUGGCUUAUCCUUCCAUCUUUUCCCCUCCCUUCUUUUGUUCUUUCCCUCCCCUUCUCUCCCCUCCCUCCUGUCUUCUUUGCUCCCUUUUCUGUCUUGUCUUCACCUUCCUGAGGACUCGCCUCCUCCUCCCUCACCAUCAUUCUGUGAACAAUGGUAGCAGAUCCACAGUUCAAAUGGCAGACAUACAAAAGAAUGAGACUGAGAUCUGUUCACCACAGACCAGAGAAAGGAUCCCACAGCAAUGAAUAGUGAGACAUUGUGGCCCAGGUACGCACAGGGUCCCGAUACAGCUGGAGAGAGCCUCAAAAAUGAAUCCAGCUUUGUCGACUCAACAAAGACCUCCCAAGUAAGGAUAUAGUAGGGGAUGCGUGGAAGUUUAUGAGACAAAGCCAGAAAGCCUUCCCCCCUCAAGAACCCUAAUGACAAAGACCUAGAGGUGUAACAUGAGGUAUUUUGUUUGUACCUAUAUUGUGUAGGUACAACAUACAAGCAGUGAGCAUACUGUUUGACAGGGUUUGUGCAUGACCAGAUGUUGGUUUGUCUUUUGCAGGUCAUGAAGAGAAGCCUCAGUAGUUAAAGUAUUUUCUGCCAUCCAGAGGACCUGCCCUUUGAGACGGGGAAGGGCACGAUUCUAUUUGCUCCUUUUAUUCAGUUAAACAUCCCUUUCUUCUUGUGUUUUGUCUUAGUCCAGUCCAUUUCAAGUGGUUAUGACAGAAUACCUAAGACUGGUAACAUAUAAACAAUAGGAUUCUAUUUGGCUCACAGCUAUAGAGCCUGGUAAAACCAGGACCAUGAUGUCAGUAUUUGGAGGGGGCCUCCUGCUGCAAUUGUCCUAAGGUGGGAGGUGAAAAGGCAAGUGGAUAUGUAAAACAGCGGAGAACUGACCUCUCUCCCUGUGUGAUGAACCCACUCCCAUGAUGGCCUCGAUCUGCUCAUGAAGAUGGUACCCAUUAUCUAACACUCUCAGCACUGUCACAUGGGGAAUGGGGUCACUAACAUGAACAUCUGGGGGAUGUCUUCAAGCCGAGACGUCCUUCCAUCUUCUCUUUGUCUCCUCUAUUUCUCUCCUGAUUCUCCUCCACUUCCCACUCCCUGCUGUGCUUCCCCAAGCCAUCUUCACUCCAGAAUCAGGGGAGGAGCCAUAUAUGUGCACAGAUCUGAUUUGGGGGCAGCAGACACAAUAGUUGCCUGCCUCUCUUCCCACAGUCAUCUUCUGUCUUCUGGAUGCUUCUUCAUGCCCUCCUCCCCUUGUUCUCCCUGGUUCCCUUGUCUGGAUCUGGGGACACAGGAGUAGAGAGAGUGAACGAGGGCCUCUCUCGUGCUCUUUUCAUUUUUAGGAACUGGUCUGUUUGUGGAUUUAGCAUUUAAAGCUCAGCCACACUACCCAUCGUAGUUCUCAGAACAAGCUCUGCCUGGUGUCUUUCAGUGUAACCCAUCACUACAAUACUCCAUUCAAAACUCACAACUGGAUCCGUGUGGGUAGGACACCUGUCGUUUUCUAGCAGAUAUUUUGUUGGGCCCUUGACCUACCUGCCAACUCCUUUAGUGUUUACAAGAAUCUCAUGAAAUGUGUAUUUAUUAUUUCUAUCCUUCUACACAAGCAAACCUAUGAUGUAGGGUAAUAUGGGCUCAAGGGGGUUUCAAUGUGAUUCAGGAAAUGAGCCCUGAUACAAGUCCAAAGACGACACUGACACUAUGGCUUUCCCCUUUCCUCACGCACUAGAUGGUUGCUCUCCUCCCUCUGACCCAUUUGCCACCUCAAAUCUGUGUCAAAAGCAGGCAGACCUGGGCAGAAGAAUGGACGUGACUGGGUGGGGUAGGGAGGAGGGACCUUUGAGUCUAUCUGUCACUGUAACAUUCCUAUCUCUUUCUUGAUCAGAAGGCUCUCACCUCCCCCAGAGCAGCUCAUUUUUCUCACCAAUGCUGUUGGCUGAGGAGCUGGAAGCCAGCCUCCUCCCACGCUGGGGACUAAAGAUGUGGUGUAGCAGUGUCAUCCCACUCAGCUGCCGAGGGGCAGCUGGGGCAGAUGGAGAGUAUGAACUGGACAGCCAUUGUUCUGAGAUUGGAGCUGACUCCUUCCUGAGUAAAUGCUACAGAGAGGCAGGCUGCCUGGAGACCCACUCCAUGGUGUGUUUAGGCAUCUUGGAGGUUGAAGCUGGUCAUGGCUGGGGACCAGAACAGACUAAGUGUGAUGCUCUGGACUUUGACAACUGUCAGUGCUCGGGUGGGUUGGGGACAAUGGUUUCAGGCUCAUCCCACUCUUUUAGGAGCUCCUCAUUGACAUAGAAAAGAAUAACAGAGACAUGGGGAGCUGUGUUCACAUAGGAGCAGGAAGAAUACGGGUAUAUUUAUUUAAACAAAAAUCCAUUUUCUAGACAAUAUGGUAUCAGCCUGUAGAGAUGGCUCAGCAGCUAGGAGUUUGUUGCUCUUCCAAAAGAUCCAAGUUCAAUUCCCAGUACCCAUGUUUGGUGGCUUCCAACCACCUGUGACAUUGGCUUCAGGAGGUCCAGUGCCCUCUUCUGGCCACCACAGAGAAAUAUACAUACACAUGUGCUUACUCACAGAGACAUGCACACAGACAUAUAGAUGAAAAUGACAAAAAUAUUUAAAAACAAGGACAACAUGGUAUUUUAAAGAGAACAUGGAAUGAGGGUCAGGAGUCUUGUGUUGUGUCCUGGUGGUGUGGUCUUGGACAACCUAUGUUUCUUUUUUGACCUUUGCUUUCUGUAUCAGUAAAGAGCAGAUGCUAAUGUCACCUACUAACAGAGGGAUGGUGGAAGAUAAAAUAUAGAAAACAAAGCCAGACUGUCCCCACCCCAAAUGCCUGGCACUCUACAAGAUAUAGGCAAUGGCUCACAGCUACAUUGGUGCUGGAAUUAGAUGUACCUCAUGACACUGUGAAUAAAUGACAUGCUUCUCUAGUCCCUGUAGGUAGGUCAUUAGAAGUAUCACAGGGCAUAAACUGUUUAAGUGGCCAGGCACAACGUAGAUGUUAAAUAAACAAUAGCUGUUGUUAGGUAUCUACAGGGGUAAGAGUUUUGUUGACUUCAACAUUGAGAGGAAAUGAAACAGUUAGAUUUGAAUGUUCUAGACAUUUCUUUUUGGUUAUUAUUGGCUACUGCUUUAAUGAAAAUGGGAUAUCUUACUUAAAGGCAAAUGAUUAGUUCUGCUAAUAGAAAAGUACAGACUCUUAAUCUAUAAACCGUCCAUGGUUCCUCAUGCCUGAGGUACUGUCAGGAGUCCCACACUACUGGAAAAAUGUGUGGGCUCCCCAGAGGGGCCUUGUUCCAUCUCCUCUUCACAGCUCUCAGGAGAAAGCUCCCGGUCAGGGGAUGGGAACUCUGUCCCAUGUCACACUUAAAGCAGGCAACCCUCUCAUCUUGCUAGAGGUAUCUGCCAAUUUAAAAUAGGCCUCAUUAUCCUCCCAUUUCCUCUCAUUUUCUCUAAUCCAUUCUGUAUACCCCAGUCAAAGUGAUCUCUUAGAAACACAGGCCUCAUCACUUCUCGCCUCUGCUUAAAAACUCUGUAAUGACUUCUCAGUGCUCUUAGGAUGACGUCCAAGUUCCUUAUCAAGGCUUACAGGGCUCUCAAUUAUGCCACCCUCCUAAGCCUGUAGUGUCAUCUCUCCUCCACCCAGCCCCCAGCCCAGGCCCUUGCCCACCUUACUCAUUACCCACCUUCCUGGAAAAUCCCAGACUCCUUCCAGCUCCAGGAGUUUCUAUGUACCGCUUUCUCUGACCCAGAUGCUCUCCAUUUAGCUAACCCCUAUUUAUUCUUCAAACCUCAACUUAAAUGUUCUUCCUUGAAGAAUCCUUCUCUGCUUUCCCGAACUGGCUUUUUGCUCUGAUAGCAUCAGUAAGUGCCAGCUCGCCCCUAAUCUCUAAGAAUAUAAAAAUGUGUAAGUAGCACCAUACCUUCUCCUGUAUCCAUUCACUGAGAAAUGCAGCUGUUCCCAUCAAAAGAUGGACUCAUUCUCACCCUUCCUUUUAGGCUAGCGCUGUGCAUGAUUCUGCUGAUUGACUAUGGCUGCAAUGAUAUACCCUAGCCUUCAGGAGACAUUGUCAAUUUCCAUUAGUUCUCUAGGAGCUCAGUCAGGUUACCAAGGGAACAAGCUCCAGCCAAUCUGCCAGAACCUGAAUGUUACAUGGAAUACAGGAGGGAUCCAGUAAAUACUCAGAAUGUCACCUGAUUGAAAUCCACAAAUCUAUGCUUCUUUCUCCUUGGAACCCUUGCAGCUCAUCACUACCCUUUUCAUCACUCAUGGACAUGAAGCAAGCAUGUAGACCUCUCAACACCAACCUCUUUCCUGCAAGAAUUGCCCCCUGAUUGUGAGAGAGAUUAUUCGUGGGGAAUUGGCACGGUGGCCCUAUAACUUUCUUUUGUUCUUCACCAGUGAUCUGGAAGGUUUCCAGAGAAAAGUCUCUUUCUUUCCACCUCGGUGAAUUCAAGCAGGGUUGUUGCUGCCCUUCUUGCCUGGGAGACAUUGUCACAGAAUUUUGGAAGAGUCCUGCUUGCUCCACCACAAGGCAACUUCUCUCAUUCAUACUUGUGUUUCCUGUGAGAACCAGUGCAAUGGAGGGGGGGUUAUUCCCUGAGGGGGGCUUUAUCAAUAUCUCUUCCAAUAUUUAUAUGAUGGCUGGCAGAUGCAAUGUUGAGCAGCCCAGGUUUCUUGCACAUUGUAGUGUGGCCAUGAUGCCCUGUGACUAACUUGUACAAGUUCAGGGUGAAGUCAAGCUGCCUCCAAAGGCGCCCAUGUUCCUAGGAUAUGUGAGACCUCUGCCCCUUGUUUUUCUGUUGUUUGUGGUGCUGAGGAUUGAACUCAGGGACUUGGGAAUGCUAGACAGUGCUCAGGGCUGUGCCACAGAGCUGCACCCCAGCUCUGUGGGAGAGCAGUCUUAAUGGCAAAUAAUUCCACACAGUGAGCAGUGCAAUGGCUUUGCACAUUUUUAUAGAGACAGCAAGAUGUUUUGUGUACUACAGUGGUGGUUGCAAAGUAGCUUUGGGGUGACUGGUUUAGUGUUAUCUCAAGUAAUUUAAUUUCUUUAAAUGAGUCUUUAUACCCUAAGCCUCCAUAUUAGCAUGCCAAAGGUGGAUAACCACUGGUCCUGAUUCAUUGUCCCAUGAUUACUGAUGUAACCAUUCAUUCAUAAGUAUUUGUCACACCUCUGCAACCUAAUAGAGGCAAACUAUACACACAAACUGGAGCUCUCAACCGUGAGGAACUCACAGUCUGGUGAGGGAGUCAGGAGUUCUACACACAAUGUCCUAUGCUGGUUUUAAAACAUGCAUCGUGAGCUCUGAGUGCCCAGAUGGAGGAUAGGAGAGGUCUCAAUUCAAACUGAAUAGAGGGUUUCAAGAUAUUCACUGGAAAGGGGUUCUCGGGGUCGAAGUGACUGGAGAGGAGGUAGGAAGAUGAAGUGAGAGGAGGUGAUGGAUUCCUGCCCUCAUCCUCUCCACUUGUCAGUUAAGCUUCAAAGUUGUCCAGGUUCUGCCACCUGUCAACUAAAAUUUAACUGAGAGAAAUCUCUCAUCAAGAGGUUAAUUGUGGCACAGAGUCUCAUUUCCGAGGCUGGGGCGACCCAGCACCGGUGCAGACUGUUUCCUUUCCAGCAUCUGGAGUGUACUGCCUGUUAGAAAAAUACAGAUAUUUGCAAUUGUGUCAUUUCUAGUCCCUAGCUUCUUCCUUCACAGGGGCUCUCUCUGUAUUUAAAAUCUCUUGGCUUUUCAGAGCUUGUCCAGAUGGACCCAGAGCACCUCCAUCUCCCUUGGGCCCUCAUCUCCCUGGCACACCAGGCCCAAGCUGAAGGAAGCUAGGAAAUUCAGGGGUGACCCCCCUCCCCACACUCCAAGGACAGAAAACUCCCUCUUUGGUGAGUUUGAAUUCAGGAGGAUUUGACUGUAUCCAAGAUGACAGCCUUGUCUCAUCAGCCAAGGGACUGUCAUUUGGAAAACCCUGAACCUCUAUUACAAUGGUACUUUUUGGUAAAAUUUUCACAUAAAAUAUAUAUCAUACUACAUUCUUGAAAGACAGCUGGGUAUAGUGAAAAGGGGGCUGGAAUUUGAAGGCAUGAAUUCAAUUUUUGCUUAUAUCGCUUUUACCUAUGAAUUUCCUUCUUUGACAAGUGGAAAUAGCUAGCUUUAGCUACUGUGAAGAUUAAAGGAGAACAUACAUUUAUUGAUUCCAAAAGUAUUUGUCAAGUACCACAUUUACUAAUUAGGACAACACUUACUACCUCCAUAUGUAAGCCUCUAAAGCCCAGUGGUUGAACACAGCAGAAGCCUGAAAGUGUUCAUAUAAGCUAGUGGGGUUCACCCGCCCAUGACACAGGGAGUCCAACCUCCAUCCUGUGAUGACCCUCUUUCAUCACCCACCUGCCAAAGCAAGGGAAGAAAGAGAUGGGUGAGGAGCACUGUAUCUGCUGUGCCUUGGGCCAGGGGUGACACAUCGCUUCUAUCCAUGUCCUGUCUGUCAAACAUUAGUCAUCUGCUUACAAUUUGGCUCCAAGGAAGGCUGGGAAAUAUCCCCAUGUCUGAACAUUAGAAGAGGACCCUCAGCAAAGAGAACAAAUGAUCUCAAUUCUGCCAUCGCCUGCUAGGAACUGUUCUAGGUGAUAAGAAUGUGAGUUGAACAAGACAGGGUCACUGUCCUCAAGGAUUACAUAGCACAGAAGUGACUUCCCAAAUAGUACAAUGUAAUAUUUAGAACAAUGUAACUCCCCUUUUAAUUCUCAAAAUUUUCCCUCUUUCAGAAGGGGAGAAGAGGAGGGGAGAAGAGGGCAUGAGGGAGCAGGAAGAUUGACUCAGGGGAAGAAUAGAGGAGAGCAAGAAAAGAGUAUAAGAGAAGGAGCCAUUAUAGGUUUAAAGAGA